GCCAGUGUGGCAAAGUGGUUUGAGUGUUGGAAUGUGACUCUGAAGACCAAGGUUCGAUUCCCUGCUUGGCCA